CUCCAUCAGUACUCUCUGGCCGGGCAUCCCGCGACGCGGCCAGGAAAGUCCCAGACUGCAGCAAGGGGGACUGAACGAGGCAUGCUGUAUGUGAACCAAAGCGCGUCUGAACUGUGGAAGGAGCGCACACUGGCAAACCGUGGAGGCCUCGACUCUUGGAGGCUUCCUGUGCACGAUGCAACAGUAUCCACUGUGGGAGCCUCGCUGAAGCCUGGAAGUGUGCAGUCAGCAUUUUAAACCAUCAUGAGCUACCUUCUGAACCAUCGCCAAGUUAAUAGACAAUGAAAGAUAAUGAGCUUGAAAUUGGGUGUUAAAUUGCAUUUUUGGUUCUCUCCCUUUUUGCUGAAGUUUAACUGUUUCCUGGAGAAAUAAAGUCAUGUUUUCAUGU
rnacentral:lncRNA from 1 species